GGAGUGGACGCAUCACUGGUGUUCGGGUUGUCAUGCCAAUGGCACUGCCCGGUAGCUAAAUGCGGAAGAGAUAAGUGCUGAAAGCAUCUAAGCACGAAACUUGCCCCGAGAUGAGUUCUCCCUGAGACUUAGAGUCUCCUGAAGGAACGUUGAAGACGACGACGUUGAUAGGCCGGGUGUGUAAGCGCAGCGAUGCGUUGAGCUAACCGGUACUAAUGAACCGUGAGGCUUAACCUUACAACGCCGAAG
rnacentral:rRNA from 6 species